ACUGAUGAAGUUUAGAAUCAAACAUCGACCUUGUAAGUCGAAAACGGAGGCCCAACACCCCCCACCAGUUCAACUU
rnacentral:tRNA from 1 species